CUUUUCCCCUUCAUUACCAAUGCUUUAGAAGACUUAAAUCUUCUGCAUAGGCAUUUCUGGAUUUGCCUACCCACCUACCAACCUUCCCUCCCCUGAAAACUUUCAGAUGCUUCUUCAUUGUUUUAGUCAUUUACCACUUUAAUGAAAUUAUCUGGCAACUUUAUUGUGGUGGGUGGGGAUCAAUGACGGUGUAAUGAGGCAAUUAGCAAAUUCUGAUAGUUCCAUCUACUCCAUGUGAAAGUCUCUUGAUGUUUUAUAUGGUACUCUUAUUAAUAAUCCCAGAGAGCAGGGGUUGGCAAACUAUGGCCCAUGGGCUAAAAUGGUUUUUACAUUUUAAAAGGGUUGAAAACUUUAAAACUGGAAGGAUACAUGACAGAGACUGGAUGGCCUACAAUGCCUAACAUAUUAUCUAGCCCUUUACAGAAAACAACUGACCAAUCCUUAUGAGACCAGACUUGCAAAAAUUACAGUAACAGAGUGAAAAACCUUCUUGAAGUGUUAGGAGGAACUUGAGUCAUAAUUUGAUGUUGAAUCAGAGAGAACAACUGUUUGGGCUUAUUUGCCUCAGAGUAUUUGCCCAGCCUCUGGUAACUAUCAUUCUAUUCUCUACCUCCAUGAGAGCAACUUUCUUAGCUCCCACAUGUGAAUGAGAACAUGCAAUAUUUGUCUUUCUGUGCCUGGCUUAUUUCAGUUAACAUCGUGACCUCCAGUUCCAUCCAUGUUGCUGCAAAUGGUAAGAUUUCAUUCUUUUUUCAUGACUGAAUAAUAUUCCCUCAUGUUUAUAGACCACAUUUUCUUUAUCCAUUCAUCUGUUGAUGGAUACUUAGGUUGAGUCUAUAUCGUGGUUAUUGUGAACAGUGCUGCAACAAACUUGGGAAUGCAGAUGUCUCUUUGACAUACUGAUUUCCUUUCAAAUUUUGGGCAUAUACGUAGUAGUGGGAUUGCUGGAUCAUAUAGUAGAUCUAUUUUUAGUUUUUUGAGGAAUCUCCAUACUGUUUUCUAUACUGGCACUAAUUUACAUUCCCACCAAAGGGUGUGAGCAUUCCCCU
rnacentral:lncRNA from 10 species